UGUUCAAGGCCCAAUUCAAGGCCCAACCCGUUGGAUUGAUCAUGCUGGACCUCUUAGCCCAUAUGUCCAGAUUCGUUGUACCGUAGUUGGUGGAAGUAGUUGGUGGAUGUUGGUAGGUGACAUAGUUGGUGGAUGGUGUUAGGUGAGAUUGAAUCUUAGCCACCAAUAUGUUAGGUGAGAUUGAAUCUUAGCCACCCAACAUGUUAGGUGAGAUUGAAUCUUAGCCACCCAUUAUGGUGGUAGGUGGGAUAGAAAGUGUAUAUAAGGAGGAUGUCACAUUGUGAAUCCUCACCUCACAACUUGUAAAGCAUUGAGUAGCAAUACAAGCAUAUAUUCUCCCAAACAUUCUUGAGUGUU